rnacentral:tRNA from 1 species
CGGGAUGUAGCUCAGCCUGGUAGAGCACUGUCUUCGGGAGGCAGGGGUCGUAGGUUCAAAUCCUGUCAUCCCGACCA